rnacentral:rRNA from 1 species
CCUACGGGGGGCUGCAGUAAGGAAUAUUGGUCAAUGGUGGGAACACUGAACCAGCCAUUCCGCGUGAAGGAUGAAUGCCCUCUGGGUUGUAAACUUCUUUAGUCUGGGACGAAAAAGCUUCAUUUAUGAAGAACUGACGGUACCAGAAGAAUAAGCACCGGCUAACUCCGUGCCAGCAGCCGCGGUAAUACGGAGGGUGCAAGCGUUAUCCGGAAUCACUGGGUUUAAAGGGUGCGUAGGUGGCGUUAUAAGUCAGGAGUGAAAUUCCACAGCUUAACUGUAGGAACUGCUUUUGAUACUGUAAUGCUUGAACCAAGAUGAGGUAGGCGGAAUGUGGCAUGUAGCGGUGAAAUGCAUAGAUAUGCCAUAGAACACCAAUUGCGAAGGCAGCUUACUAGACUUGAGUUGACACUGAGGCACGAAAGCGUGGGGAGCAAACAGGCUUAGAUACCCCGGUAGUC